rnacentral:rRNA from 1 species
AACGAACGCUGGCGGCAUGCCUAGCACAUGCAAGUCGAACGAGAUCUUCGGGUCUAGUGGCGCACGGGUGCGUAACGCGUGGGAAUCUGCCCUUUGGUUUGGAAUAACAGUUGGAAACGACUGCUAAUACCGGAUGACGACGAAAGUCCAAAGAUUUAUCGCCAGAGGAUGAGCCCGCGUAGGAUUAGCUAGUUGGUGUGGUAAAGGCGCACCAAGGCGACGAUCCUUAGCUGGUCUGAGAGGAUGAUCAGCCACACUGGGACUGAGACACGGCCCAGACUCCUACGGGAGGCAGCAGUGGGGAAUAUUGGACAAUGGGCGAAAGCCUGAUCCAGCAAUGCCGCGUGAGUGAUGAAGGCCUUAGGGCUGUAAAGCUCUUUUACCCGGGAUGAUAAUGACAGUACCGGGAGAAUAAGCUCCGGCUAACUCCGUGCCAGCCGCCGCGGUAA